AAUAGAUACCCGGGUAGUCCACGCCGUAAACGAUGAGUGCUAAGUGUUAGGGGGUUUCCGCCCCUUAGUGCUGCAGCUAACGCAUUAAGCACUCCGCCUGGGGAGUACGGUCGCAAGACUGAAACUCAAAGGAAUUGACGGGGGCCCGCACAAGCGAUGGAGCAUGUGGUUUAAUUCGAAGCAACGCGAAGAACCUUACCAGGUCUUGACAUCCCAUUGACCGCUAUGGAGACAUAGCUUUCCCUUCGGGGACAGUGGUGACAGGUGGUGCAUGGUUGUCGUCAGCUCGUGUCGUGAGAUGUUGGGUUAAGUCCCGCAACGAGCGCAACCCUUGUUCUUAGUUGCCAUCAUUUAGUUGGGCACUCUAAGGAGACUGCCGGUGACAAACCGGAGGAAGGUGGGGAUGACGUCAAAUCAUCAUGCCCCUUAUGACCUGGGCUACACACGUGCUACAAUGGACGGUACAAACGGUUGCCAACCCGCGAGGGGGAGCUAAUCCGAUAAAACCGUUCUCAGUUCGGAUUGUAGGCUGCAACUCGCCUAC
rnacentral:rRNA from 1 species